UGGGGAAUCUUGCACAAUGGGCGAAAGCCUGAUGCAGCGACGCCGCGUGCGGGAUGAAGGCCUUCGGGUUGUAAACCGCUUUCAGCAGGGAAGAGGCCGCAAGGUGACGGUACCUGCAGAAGAAGCCCCGGCUAACUACGUGCCAGCAGCCGCGGUAAUACGUAGGGGGCAAGCGUUAUCCGGAUUCAUUGGGCGUAAAGCGCUCGUAGGCGGUCUGUUAGGUCGGGAGUUAAAUCCGGGGGCUCAACCCCCGUCCGCUUCCGAUACCGGCAGACUUGAGUUUGGUAGGGGAAGGUGGAAUUCCUAGUGUAGCGGUGGAAUGCGCAGAUAUUAGGAAGAACACCAGUGGCGAAGGCGGCCUUCUGGGCCAACACUGACGCUGAUGAGCGAAAGCUAGGGGAGCGAACAGG
rnacentral:rRNA from 1 species